GGCCACAGGCCUAAGAACACACUAACCCUGGAGUCGACCGCCACAGAGGGGUUGGAGCGCCGCCAGCAUCCCAAACCACGUAUGCAGAGCUGCUAUCGGGGGAGAAAGACAAGGCGAAGCGCAAAGGAAUCUAGCACAGCACAUGCCUACACGCAAGAACAUACUUACACAAAAACUCCCUAGAUGACAAGCAAAAUCAAAAGGGCCCAAGAGCCACAAACAGACUAUCGUAGAACCAUGGUAGGCUUAUCAUCGGUCGUUUGAGAGUUGAAAAG
rnacentral:misc_RNA from 1 species